rnacentral:lncRNA from 1 species
CCGGCCCCGACGCUGGCCUGCGGCGUCUGUUUGUGCAGAGCGAGGCCCCGCCGGCCGGGCUUGACGUCAGGCUGGCAGGGCCUGGAACGGCCCCGCAUCGCGGCCCCCUGGGGGCAGGACGACACCGCUGGGGGCCGAGGGCAGGGCACGCCUUCGGAAUCCGGCUUCGAAGCCGGCCGCCUGACCUGGGGCAAGUGCUUUCAACUCUCUGAACUUCGGUUCCUCAUCUGCCAGUUGGCAGACGCUCAGCAAAUCUUCCUAGACUCACGGGGCGAAUUGUACAGUUGGGUAAAUCGAGGCCCAGAGAUGGCAAAAGGACCGUCCAAGGUCGUACAGCCACCCGGAAUUACAAUUCUUUUCUGCCGGGUCACACGCUGUCAUCCACGUGUUACCUAAGAGAGCUUUCCAGCCUGUGCUAAGAAAACUGCCCCACAUCAUCUGCAGUAGGACGGGGGAGUUGGAGCCCUGGUCAGGCCACUCUGCUACUGACCACAGUUUUCUCAUCUCUAAAAAGGCGCAGUAACAAUAUAAUUACCGUAUGCAGUCCCCCAGGAUACAGGGUCAAAGGAGAGCACAACCAUCGCAGUUGGAAGCCCAUGGGGCAGGGCCCAGGACACAGUGAGCAUACAAUAGACAUUAGCUGCUGUGGUGUCUUGAUUUCAAGCCCAGUGCAGAUGCAUCUGACUUACGAAACUUCAGUGACACCUGCUCUGUGCCAGACACUGAAGAUGGAGCAGUGAACAGCACUGACCCAGCCUGUCCUCCUGUUGCCUGCAGGCCAGACGGAGUCUCACUCUGUCACCAGGCUGGAGUACAGUGGUGUGAUCUCGGCUCACUGCAACCUCCGCCUCCCAGGUUCAAGCGAUUCUCCUGCCUCAGCCUCUCAAGUAGCUGAGAUUACAGACGUGUGUCACCAUGCCCUGUUAAUUUUUGUUUGUUUGUUUUGUUUUUUGUUUUGUUUUGUUUCGUUUUUUGUUUUUUUUUUUUGAGACGGAGUCUUGCUCUGUCGCCCAGGCUGGAGUGCAGUGGCCCCGAUCUCGGCUCACCGCAAGCUCCGCCUCGCGGGUUCAUGCCAUUCUCCGGCCUCAGCCUCCCGAGUAGCUGGGACUACAGGCAUCCGCCACCACACCCAGCUAAUUUUUUGUAUUUUUUUUAGUAGAGACGGGGUUUCACUGUGUUAGCCAGGAUGGUCUCGAUCCCCUGACCUUGUGAUCCACCCAAGGCCUCGGCCUCCCAAAGUGCUGGGAUUACAGGCAUGAGCCACCGUGCCCGGUCAAUUUUUAUAUUUUUUGUAGAGACAGGGUUUCACCAUGUUGGCCAGGCUGGUGUCGAACUCCCGACCUCAGGUGAUUGUCGGCCUUGGCCUCCCAAAGUGCUGGGAUUACAGGCGUGAGCCACCGCGCCCAGCCGGUGGGCAGCCAGUUGUGUUCCGGGAGGAGGAGGACACCCUGGAAAGACAGUGGGGCCAGACACUGAACUGCCUUUGGAAGCAAGUAGGAGCAACAGCGAAGGUUUGCUGGCUCAGAAGCAAGGUCUCGCUGUGUUACCCUGGCUGGAGUGCAGUGGCUACUUACAGGCAUGAUCAUAGCAUACUGCAGCCUCGAACUCCUGGACUAGAGCAGUUCUCCUGCCUCAGCCUCCAGAGCAGCUGGGACUGCAGACACGCACCACAGAGCCCAGCCUGAGUCAUUUUGAUUCUGUAACUGGCUUCCUCUCGGCGGGCAGGCUCACACCCUCCACCCCCAGCUGGAGAUGGAAGGAGGAUGCUCACCGCCCAUUCCUCAUGCAGGCCAUCGAUGGAAAUGUCAGACAGUGCGAGUCCACGCCUGAACACUUCUGGGGUCCGCUCUGGGACUGACACUGGCAGAUCCAUCGUGGCACCCGAGCUCUGUGAGGGCAAGACUUUGUUCGGUUGUGGGCUAUGCCCCCAACCCCUCGGACAGUGCCUGCACAGGUGGACAUUUUUGUUGGAUGAAGGAUUUUCUGUUAAAUGUGUCUGGCACACACAGAAAAACAAAGCCCAGCAGAUGCCGUUCCAUUGUUUGCUGACUUUCAUUGAUUCUAUGAGAAGUCUGCAGUCUUUUGCAGCGUUGUUUUCCUAUGUAUAAUUGUCUCCUCCCACCCCA